rnacentral:lncRNA from 1 species
AUUUUUUCCUGGUACUGGGGACAGAACCCAGGGUGCCCUUCCACCCAGGUACAUUCCUAGCCCAUUUUUUAUUUGGGGCAGAGUCUUGCUAAAUUGCUAGGCGGAACUAAAAUUUGCAAUCCUCCUGCCUCAGGUGCUGGGAUUGCAGGGCUGCACCACCAGGCCUGGCUCUGGCCAGGAUGAAUUUUAAAGGUCACCGAUUCAGAGAGAGCAGCCUGAAGAGCAGGCGCGCGGUAUGGCGUGUGAGGCCCUGCGUGGGGGCCUCUGGGGAAGCCGGUGAGUCAGCCGCCUUCUCUCUAAUAGCGUUCACCUCCGCGCGAGGAGUAAUAGGAGAGGCCGUCAUUAGCCAAGGUGUGAGUAACAGGGUUCAAACUCAAGAGGGACUCGGUGUGUUCCGCUGGGGAAGGGUGAGCUGGGGCUCUUCCCUGCCUGCGGAGGAGGCGCAGACCGCGGAGUCCAAGCCCAGGGACGGCGAUGAGUCCCUUAGACACCGGCCCAGGACGGAGACCCACAGGAACACGUCUGGGAGACCCUUCACCAUUCACCUGGGCCACCUUUGCACAGGUUGAGGAAUGUGGCGUGGACACAGAGCGAACAUGAGCCUGCUCUUCUGCACUCCCUUUCGUCAGAGCGGAGGUGGUGCCGGGAGGAGGAGCCAUCUGUGGAGUCCAAGCAGCAAUGUGUGACUAGCAUUUGCAGGCGCCGUGUGCGUGGCCAGAAACGGACACUACGUGGCCCUGCUUGGGCCUCUAUGGUGGCAGGGCCUAGGGCAUGGAGAAAUGAGCCAGAGAAGGGGCCGUGAAAGUCUUGAAAGUAGACUUGACAUUCGUGGAGGAGCUUGGUGUGCUGAGACGCAGGUUGGACAACUCAGGACGACAGAGACUUAGGUCUGUGUGAUCUCAAGGGCCGAGCUCAACCUGGAGUCUGCGGGGGAAGCCUUGAACAUUCCCCCACAUAUUUCUGGCUUCCGUCCAGCCUAGCGUAGAAAGUGGUGGUCAGGAUGUUCUGAACACCAGCCUCUCUCCACCCGAGCCCCAGGCCCUCACUUCUGAAGAUGAGCAUAGGACAUCACUUAGUUGUCCUAGACAAAAAUAACCCAGAGUGCUGCCUGCUCUCUCACCCUGUGAACAGCCAGGGCCCAGGCUAUGACUAAGUCUGCUGGGGGAAUCCAGAGGCCAGGACCCUUGCAAUGCUGGAGUCUAAAGGCUCCUGGGUCCUAAAGCUUCCUCUGUUUCCAAUAAGAUUUGUCUGAGAUAUUUCCCCAAUAAUUAGCUAAGCAAAGAGGAAAAGAGCACAUCAUUUUAUAAAAAUCUUUUUUUGUCUGUUUUUUUUUUACAGUGCUGGGGAUCAAAAUCAGGGCCUUGCAUGUGUCAUGUUUCAGUAGUAAAACACUACUGGACUGCCCCCUUACCCCUUAAGAGAGCUUUCAGGUAUGAAUGAUGGGUCCUUGGGAGGCUGAGGCAGGAGGAUCACAGCCUGGGCAAGUUGGUGGGACCCUACCUCAAAAGCAAAGCAAAACAGGCUGGGAUGUAGCUCAGUGGCAGAGGCUUUCCCUAGCAUAUAUGAGGCCCUGGGUACAAUCUCCACACACAACCCCCCAAGAAUAAAGAGCAUGUUUUUACUAUGCAAUCAAUUCUUGAGAAAUCUGGGGUAGGAAUUCUCCCAUUUUAGAAAUCUCCAGCUUCUUUUCUCCCAGACUCCUCUUUAUUCAUUCCUUCAGCAAAUAUUCCAUCUGUGGGAGACCAGGCCCUGGGUGAAGCGCAUGCACAGUCGAGAAGAGCCCGUUUCUUGUAUAAUAUUAGCCAGACUGACUCCGAGAUUUAACAUAGCAGUCAGGAAAAGAAGGGUACUAAUGAAAUAUUUGCCACACAAUUUCAACAUCCCAGGAAAUAAUGCUGUGGGUUCAAUCAGUCACUCUGGUGGUAGGUGAGGGAGCCCUUUAAAAGCAGGCAUCAGCAGAAGGGAAGGAUUCUUCAAGACUGGUUGUUUUUACAGACACCUCAAUCUGGUACAUUUCCUACGAAAAGAGUAUCCUUUUCUUUCAACAUUUGAGAAGUAUAAGUGAGCAUCAGUUUUAGAGAGGAACAGAAGAACAAAGCUCCCUUUCUGUAUUAACAAUAGAGUAGCUUAAUGUUGUUUUUUAAAGUUUCUACUGACCUGAAAAACACCGAGAGCUACGAAAUUGGAUUCGGAGUUGGAGGGUGAAGGAAUCCCGGAGCUGUGGGUGUGCAGCCACAUCAACAACAGAAACAAAUGACCAAG